rnacentral:piRNA from 1 species
UUCAUGACGUUUAAGGCAUCUGCUGAGGCA